AUGAGUGGGAACGGACUUCGCUUUCUCAAACAAGUCGUGGAAGCAGGGACGAAAUGUAAAGGAUUUGAAUCUAUAUUGGACAAGGUCAAAGUUGUUUCUGGUGGAAAUGGAAAGUUGGUGUGUGAGAUGACGGUUACAGAGGACCAUCAAAAUCGUUUAGGCACCCUACACGGAGGAAUGACAGCUGCACUUGUGGACGCAGUGUCCACCUGGGCCCUGUUGACCACCGAGCGACAGGUAGCAGGUGUUAGUGUGGACAUGAGUAUUUCGUACAUGAAGGCAGCUAAAGUUGGGGAGGACAUUCUGAUUGAGGCAAAUUCCACCAAAGUUGGAAAGACCUUAGCCUUCUUGAAUGUGGAUAUAAGAAAGAAGAGUGAUGGAGCUUUACUAGCACAAGGCAAACAUACCAAGUUUGUAGGCAGCUAGUACAUGCCUCCGGGACUAAUGCAGACAUGAACAUUAUUGGGAAGAAGUUGGAUAAUCUCAAACACUGACCAGCUGACCGAGCAGUUUGAUGCCCCCUUCAAUACGGUCCUGAAAGGCGCGAUGUCCUGUCCACAUCUCGUACAUCAUGAUUCCCACCGAGUACAUGUCAUGCUGAAUGGUAUACACAGUUUUGUCUGGUUGGUUCAUCAGUCGUCCGUCAAAGUGGACAUAUUUGAGUACAGGAGACCCAUCUGGUGGAAACAAUGUGACUGGUAGCUUCCUAGGCAUUGUUAGGUUAACAAGCUUCACCUUACGAUGUACAUCUACCUGUAAGACAUGUUACCUAAGAAAUGAUUAUUGUAUGUCUUACUAUGUUACGCAUGGUUUGUUCUAUGUAUAUUAUAAACUUUUUUUUAUCAUUUCCCCUUUAUAUAUGGUUGUUUGUAUGUAUAUAUGGUUGUUUGUAUGUAUAUAUGGUUGUUUGUAUGUAUAUAUGGUUGUUUGUAUGUGUAUAUGGUUGUUUGUAUGUGUAUAUGGUUGUUUGUAUGUGUAUAUGGUUGUUUGUAUGUGUAUAUGGUUGUUUGUAUGUAUAUAUGGUUGUUUGUAUGUAUAUAUGGUUGUUUGUAUGUGUAUAUGGUUGUUUGUAUGUGUAUAUGGUUGUUUGUAUGUAUAUAUGGUUGUUUGUAUGUGUAUAUGGUUGUUUGUAUGUAUAUAUGGUUGUUCGUAUGUGUAUAUGGUUGUUUGUAUGUAUAUAUGGUUGUUUGUAUGUAUAUAUGGUUGUUUGUAUGUGUAUAUGGUUGUAUGUAUGUAUAUAUGGUUGUUGGUAUGUGUAUAUGGUUGUUUGUAUGUGUAUAUGGUUGUUUAUAUGUGUAUAUGGUUGUUUGUAUGUGUAUAUAUGGUUGUUGGUAUGUAUAUAUGGUUGUUUGUAUGUGUAUAUGGUUGUUGAUAUGUGUAUAUGGUUGUUUGUAUGUAUA